AAUAAAAUUAUUUAUGGUUUAAAAAUUUAUUAUAAAUUUAUUUUACAUAUAAAUUUUAGUGUUAAUUUUUAAUUUAUUUAAAUAAUAAUUAAUAUUUAUUUGUAGUAAUUAGAAUUAAAAAUUUAAGUAAUUAAGAUUUAGUAAUAUUUAAAUUAAUAACAAAUUUUGUGCCAGCAGUUGCGGUUAUACAAAAAUUAAAUUAAAUUUUUUUAGGGAUUAAUUAAUAAUAGAUUAUAUAAUAAAAUUAAAAUUUAAAUUAUUAAGUGAAAUUUUAAUUUAUGAAAAUUUUAUAUUGAGUUAUGAAUUAAAAAAUUUUAUUAAAAACUAGGAUUAGAUACCCUAUUAUUAAAAAUUUAAAUUAAUAAUACUAAAAUAGUAUAUAAUUAUUUAUAAAAACUUAAAUAAUUUGGCGGUAUUUUAGUUUAUUUAGAGGAAUCUGUUUAUUAAUUGAUAUUCCACGAAUAAAUUUACUUAAUUUAUUUAAUUUUGUAUAUCGUUGUUAAAAAAAUAUUUUAAAAUAAUAAUAAUAUUUUAAUUUUUAUAUUAAAAGUUAAAUCAGAUCAAGAUGCAGAUUAUAAUUAAGAAUAUAAUGGAUUACAAUAAAUUUAUUUAAUUGGAUGUUAUUUUUAAAAAUUAAUUGAAAUUGGAUUUAAAUGUAAUUUUAUUUAAUUUAUUAAAAUGAUUUUAAUUUAAAAUAUGUACAUAUUGCCCGUCGCUUUCAUUAAUAAAUUGAAAUAAGUCGUAACAAAGUAGAGGUACUGGAAAGUGUUUCUAGAAAGAG
rnacentral:ncRNA from 1 species